rnacentral:lncRNA from 1 species
CAUCAGGUUAUAAAAGAAUUGGCAAGAGCAAUGAUAAGUAUUGGGAUGGCAAUUACAACAUUGUCCUAGUUAUCAUAUAUGCGCUCCUGAAACUUUGGGAGAUACAUUUGCUACGGAUACCCUUUCUGUACUUUGGAUUAUUCUUGUACUUGUGAUCGAGCAGGAGCUCAUUAAUUAUUCAUGUAUUUCUUCGGUGAUGAUGAUGAU